GAUGAACGCUGGCGGCGUGCCUAAUACAUGCAAGUCGAACGAAACUUCUUUAUCACCGAGUGCUUGCACUCACCGAUAAAGAGUUGAGUGGCGAACGGGUGAGUAACACGUGGGCAACCUGCCCAAAAGAGGGGGAUAACACUUGGAAACAGGUGCUAAUACCGCAUAACCAUAGUUACCGCAUGGUAACUAUGUAAAAGGUGGCUAUACUACCGCUUUUGGAUGGGCCCGCGGCGCAUUAGCUAGUUGGUAGGGUAAAGGCUUACCAAGGCAAUGAUGCGUAGCCGAAUUGAGAGGUUGAUCGGCCACAGUGGGACUGAGACACGGCCCAAACUCCUACGGGAGGCAGCAGUAGGGAAUCUUCCACAAUGGGCGAAAGCCUGAUGGAGCAACGCCGCGUGGGUGAAGAAGGUCUUCGGAUCGUAAAACCCUGUUGUUAGAGAAGAAAGUGCGUGAGAGUAACUGUUCACGUUUCGACGGUAUCUAACCAGAAAGCCACUGCUAACUACGUG
rnacentral:rRNA from 1 species